CAACUUGAGUCAGAAAUUCCCAUGGUGACAUCACAUCCUCCAUUGUCUUUGUUCAUUUCAUCAGCCGUAUUUACUCACAGCAGAGUCACACAGAGAAACAGCAUGAAUAAUACACUCCUGAGUUUCUCUGUCACAUGUAUGUGGCUCACAGCUGCUUGUCUUGGUAAAAAUGUUGAUCAGACGCCUGCGAACCUCAUCAAGAAUCAAGAUGAAUCUGCUCUGAUCUUGUGCACUCAUAAUAUAUCGAACUAUGAACGAAUAUUUUGGUACAAACAAAGUCAGGACAUGUUGGGCCUCAAGUUCAUGGGAUACCUUUAUUACAAAGAUGAUAAUAAAGAGCCUGAAUUCACAAACAAGAUCAAUCUGAAAGGAGAUGGAAGAAAUAAUGGCACUCUGAUUAUCAACGACCUCACACUAACUGACAGUGCAGUGUAUUUCUGUGCAGCAUAUGACACAGUGCUCAGAAUCACAUCUGUCUAAUACAAAAACUCCUCCCCUGUUACAAGAUUAUCAGUGACUGCAAAUUCAUUCCCAGUCUGCAUCUG